rnacentral:rRNA from 1 species
AUGACGAGAGUUAAGGAUAGUUACUAUGUACUUCCAGGAAAACCUGGACCGAAGCGCACCGUGUCAAACACUCACAGCAUUGGGAAGGUAAUGUUCCUAACAGCUGUUGCCAGGCCUCGAUAUAACAAUGAGGGAGAGCUAACAUUCGAUGGGAAGAUAUGUAUUUGGGCAUUCGUCGAAGAGACUGAGGCGAAGCGGACAAGUCAAAACAGAACAAAGGGAACAAAAGUGUUGACAUCAGUGAAAGUAGCUAGGCCUGUGUGCAGAGAUUAUCUAAUCAAUAAGGUUAUCCUGGCAAUUCAGGAUAAGUGGCCUGACGAUGAUGAGGGAGCAACAAUAUUCAUCCAACAGGAUAACGCAAAGCCUCACAUCCUUCCCAAUGAUGUAGCUUUUCGAGAAGCUGUGGAACAAACUGAUCUUGACAUCCGAUUGCUACAAUAG